AUGAGGGAAGAGUACAGCCUGGAUCCACCCAAGGGUGCCAUGAACGCUCUUCCCUGGCUUUCCACCAGCCUCAGCAUCAGAGACGAGGCACAGAGUCCCACUUUGCCUCAAGAAAGCCCUGCUUGGAGGCCUGAGGCCUGGCAGAACAGGUCCUUCGGGGCAGGCUGUGGGCAUGGGUGCAGUGUGAGGAGCCCCUCCUUGGCUUUAGUUCCCUGCUGCUCACCUUGCAGCAGGUUUGCACCCAAGCAGGACCCGGGACUGGACACGGCCCAGUCCGGGCAAGUGGGAGGUAAAGACCUGGGCUACAGCCCGCACCUGCCUUGAGAGUGACGCUCACCUGGUUAUGCAUUAACAGGGGAUCAGCCUUGUGGCAGCCCCAGGGCUCAAUCACAAGCCGAAUGGGCAUGUUUAUGGCCAGCAGCCUUCCAAUAAAUUACCUCUCCUGCCAAAAAUGUGCCCUUUUGCCUUUUUCAUGUCACCUUGUCACAGAGCUGAAAUGACAGGUGAGCAAAUAGCAGGGGUGAGGAAAGCCCUGCUCCUCAACAGGUCCACAAAGCCCCCUCCGCCUGACCUGAGCUGUUUAUCGCCUGGGAACAGUCUGCACAGAUAAUGGGGAGCCAUCAAGGGUGGGCUGAGUUCCCCCAGGGAGGCCCAGGAAGAGUGACAGGAAGGGGUACUGGGGAGGCUGUGGGCAAAGGGGAAACAUGUUUCAUCUGCCUCAGCCUAUGUGGUGAUGGGGCCUCUGAGCUCGCUCUGUCAUGCUGAGAAACAAUGAUAGGAGUCGCUGUCUUUAUGGGCACUGAGCAGGCGACAAACGUGUUUGCAGUGUCAGCCUCCACAGCCGCUUGGCAUUUUCUAUGAUCACUGAACAUAGAAGGGCAGCUGAGUCCCAAGGCCAUUUGCACCGUCACAAGUACCUGAGGAUGUAGGCUCCCUCCCAGCCUACUUCCACUAUCAGAAUCCUGGGUAGUGACACAAGGGAGGGAGGUGAUUAGUCCUAGAAUAAAAACCCAGUCAUCCAUGGGCAGUCCAUUCUUGUGCCCUAUAUAUAUGCACAUGGAGACCUAUACCUGUUGAUGUUGGUGUUAUCUGCUCUCCAUCCAGCCAUUCUACUUACCCACUGUUAUGCUCUCUCUCUGGUUCUUUCCUUCCCUGCUUUCCUUUUCUCCUCCCUUCUACAGGUAUUUAUUAAGCACCAACUGCAUGCACAGCUCUGCAGAAGCAGC
rnacentral:lncRNA from 1 species